CCCCGGGCCUGACAGGAACCGGGCUGGCCUCGGGACAACUCAGAGUCCCGCACCGGAACGGAAGGGGGAGGGUCGAGUUAAGAGACCUGCGGCACCUUAAGACACCUAUCCUGCAGCAGAAAAUUGUAAUCGUUUUAUUCUCUGGCACACUUCAAGACAUCUGUGAGUGAAUUGCCCACGCUUUGUUAUGUAAUUCCUCUCCGAAGAAGGAUCUCCAAAGAUUCGACACAAAUUACGGAUUCUUUGUCUCUCCUUGGCUCUGCCCUAAGCUGACAGCAUUCUGUCACAUGAUCUACUAAAUCAAGAAAGAUGUUCAUUUAUC